GCCCGGGUGGCGGAACGGCAGACGCGGCGGACUUAAAAUCCGCUAUCCGUAAGGAUGUGUGGGUUCAACCCCCACCCCGGGCA
rnacentral:tRNA from 1 species